UCUCAUUCCUCCCGUGGGGGGCGGCUGGAGGGCGGGACAGUGAGGAGGAGAGGCGCACAGAGGAUUGUUCCCUCAGGAGGGAGAGCUGAAUCCCUUGUGUAGCUACGUGUCUGGCGGUCUUCGCUGCUGAUGCUGACAGGAUGCUACCUGGACUAUGCAAAUAAUUAGCUGUAGCAAGAGGCAGUAUUUUUAUGAAGGGCUGGAGAGCAAUACAAUAAAAAGUGUCUGCAGGUAACAGUAUACCAGGACCAAUAUUAUGGCUGUGCUGGCUGUCUCUGCCUGGACAAUUUCUGUGGACAAAUGCUUUGGCUGUGCUGACAAUAUCCUUGUGCUGACCAUAGACAAUAUUCCUGCCUGCUGCCUGGAUAAUUACUAUUGCUGUCGCUAAGCACAUCCCUGACUGCUGCCUGGACCAGUGCUCUCCUCUUUGGACACUACUAAAAGCACAGCGCAAAAAUAAAAACCUGCAUAGGUGAUCAAAUACCAGCG